rnacentral:rRNA from 1 species
AGGGCACCACCAGGAGUGGAGCCUGCGGCUUAAUUUGACUCAACACGGGGAAACUCACCCGGCCCGGACACCGUAAGGAUUGACAGAUUGAUAGCCUUUUCAUGAUUCGGUGGAUGGUGGUGCAUGGCCGUUCUUAGUUCGUGGAGCGAUUUGUCUGGUUUAUUCCGAUAACGAGCGAGACUCUGGCCUACUAAAUAGUUGACGCAUUGCCACUGUGCGCACAACUUCUUAGAGGGAUUUUCGGUGUUCAACCGCGCGAAAUUGAGCAAUAACAGGUCUGUGAUGCCCUUAGAUGUCCGGGGCUGCACGCGCGCUACACUGGCAGAAUCAACGUGCCUGUCCUCCCCCGAAAGGGGUUGGUAAACCCUUGAAAAUUUGCCGUGAUUGGGAUCGGAAAUUGCAAUUAUUUUCCGUGAACGAGGAAUUCCAAGUAAGUGCGAGUCAUCAACUCGCGUUGAUUACGUCCCUGCCCUUUGUACACACCGCCCGUCGCUGCCCGGGACUGAGCCGUUUCGAGAA